rnacentral:rRNA from 1 species
UACGGGGGGGGCAAGCGUUGUUCGGAAUUACUGGGCGUAAAGGGCUCGUAGGCGGCCAACUAAGUCCGACGUGAAAUCCCCAGGCUUAACCUGGGAACUGCGUCGGAUACUGGAUGGCUUGAAUCCGGGAGAGGGAUGCGGAAUUCCAGGUGUAGCGGUGAAAUGCGUAGAUAUCUGGAGGAACACCGGUGGCGAAGGCGGCAUCCUGGACCGGCAUUGUCGCUGAUGAGCGAAAGCCAGGGGAGCAAACGGG